GCAUAUCAAUAAGCGGAGGAAAAGAAACCAACAGGGAUUGCCUUAGUAACGGCGAGUGAAGCGGCAAAAGCUCAGAUUUGAAAUCUGGCGUCAUUUUGGCGUCCGAGUUGUAAUCUGUAGAGGAGUAUUCGAGUGUGGAUUUGGCUUAAGUUCCUUGGAACAGGGCGUCAUAGAGGGUGAGAACCCCGUUAACGGCCUAGGUCUUAUGCUCAUGUGAAUCUCCUUCAACGAGUCGAGUUGUUUGGGAAUGCAGCUCUAAAUGGGUGGUAAAUUCCAUCUAAAGCUAAAUACUGGCAAGAGACCGAUAGCGCACAAGUAGAGUGAUCGAAAGAUGAAAAGAACUCUGAACAGAGAGUUAAAUAGUACGUGAAAUUGUUGAAAGGGAAGCACUUGCUACCAGACAUGCUCAUAGCUGAUCAGCCUCCAUUCUUGGUGGUGCACUCAACUAUGUGUGGGCUAGCAUCAGUUAUACUGGUGGGACAAAGACUGAGGGAAUGUAGCUCCUUUUGGGGAGUGUUAUAGCCCUCAGUGGAAUACUGCCUAGUGUGACUGAGGACUGCGCUUCGGCGAGGAUGCUGGCAUAAUGGUCGUAAGUGACCCGUCUUGAAACACGG
rnacentral:rRNA from 1 species